UCCGUAGGCGGGCAAUUAAGUCAGAGGUGAAAUCCCACAGCUCAACUGUGGAACCGCCUUUGAUACUGGUUGUCUUGAGUUACAGUGAAGUAGAUAGAAUAUGUAGUGUAGCGGUGAAAUGCAUAGAUAUUACAUAGAAUACCGAUUGCGAAGGCAGUCUACUAACUGUAUACUGACGCUAAUGGACGAAAGCGUGGGGAGCGAACAGGAUUAGAUACCCUGGUAGUC
rnacentral:rRNA from 1 species